UCCUCUGAUGAUGAUAAAACAAAUAACUUUUGUCCGAGUUAUCCAUGCGGAAAUUAUUUGGAGACCUGAACUGAAGAGGC